GCAUAACGCGAAGAACCUUACCAAGGCUUGACAUGCAUCUCUAAGCGCGUGAAAGCGCGUGACCCUUCGGGGGAUUUGCACAGGUGCUGCAUGGCCGUCGUCAGCUCGUGUCGUGAGAUGUUGGGUUAAGUCCCGCAACGAGCGCAACCCUUGUGACUAGUUGCCAGCACGUUAUGGUGGGAACUCUAGUCAGACUGCCCAGAUCAACUGGGAGGAAGGUGGGGACGACGUCAGGUCAGUAUGGCCCUUACGCCUUGGGCUGCACACGUACUACAAUGCCCAGUACAAUGAGAACCGAGACCGCGAGGUGGAGGAAAUCUAAAAAACUGGGCCCAGUUCGGAUUGGAGGCUGCAACUCGCCUCCAUGAAGUUGGAAUCGCUAGUAAUGGCGCAUCAUCUACGGCGCCGUGAAUACGUUCCCGGGUCUUGUACACACCG
rnacentral:rRNA from 1 species